rnacentral:misc_RNA from 1 species
GCUGAAUAGCCCAGCUUCAUUGGCUUCAUCAAGAAAGCCAAAGCUUCCUCAGGAGAUUUUCAAGGAUUUUGAAUCUUCUAAUGCUCCCUCUAAUGUUUUAUCGAUUAGCUUUGGGGAUGUUGCUUCACUUGCUUAUAUUCCUCCACAAAAUACUUACUCCAUUCACCAGAGGUUGUUCAGUGGAUUGAAUGACAUAUACUGCA